UGAAAAGGUACCACCUCUGUGACAGCUAUUUUUUAUUUACAGCCUGGUAUGUUCAAUAAAAUUUUAAUUCACAAUUUUAUUCACUUGUUUUUUAGGGUAUGGGCAAAAACUUUAUUCAGCUAGAGCUCAAGAAAUGGACAACGACAAUCAAGGUGCAAAUUCUGGUUCUGCUGAAGGACAGAUAGUGGAAGAUGAGCUGUUGUAUGCCACCGUAAAUCAUUCAGGAGCUGGGGAAAACUCUGCUCCUGCAGUGAAGUUUGAUUCAGAAACUGUCUACGCCACGGUGGUCAUAGACUGAAUAUAACCUGCAACACUGCCUGAUGUAAAUAAUCACCAAAACUAAAUUAAACCUGUACCAUGUUUGUGCAACCCUUCCUGAUUAGAUUAGCUGUUGCAAAGUUAGGCAAUGCUAUUUUCUCAGAAAUAAGUCGGAAACCUGCUAAACUUGAAGGCAAACUGUUUUAAACUUGCUUUUUACUGCACUUGUAUUCUGAUGUAUUUUGAGAGAAACGUUAAUAAAAGAAUCUAUUGCAUUGCAAACUG